AUUGAACGCUGGCGGCAUGCCUUACACAUGCAAGUCGAACGGCAGCACGGACUUCGGUCUGGUGGCGAGUGGCGAACGGGUGAGUAAAGUAUCGGAACGUACCUUUCAGUGGGGGAUAACGUAGCGAAAGUUACGCUAAUACCGCAUAUUCUGUGAGCAGGAAAGCAGGGGAUCGCAAGACCUUGCGCUGAUUGAGCGGCCGAUAUCAGAUUAGCUAGUUGGUGAGGUAAAGGCUCACCAAGGCGACGAUCUGUAGCGGGUCUGAGAGGAUGAUCCGCCACACUGGAACUGAGACACGGUCCAGACUCCUACGGGAGGCAGCAGUGGGGAAUUUUGGACAAUGGGGGCAACCCUGAUCCAGCCAUGCCGCGUGAGUGAAGAAGGCCUUCGGGUUGUAAAGCUCUUUCGGCCGGGAAGAAAUCGUAUCAGCUAAUACCUGGUGCGGAUGACGGUACCGGCAUAAGAAGCACCGGCUAACUACGUGCCAGCAGCCGCCGUAAAAC
rnacentral:rRNA from 1 species